GACGAGGUGGCCGAGUGCGUAAGGCGAUGGACUGCUAAUCCAUUUUUGUUCUGCACGCAUGGGUUCGAAUCCCAUCCUCGUCG